ACACCGGCAGCUCAAGUGGUAGCCGCUUUUAUUGGGCCUAAAGCGUCCGUAGCCGGUCUGAUAAGUCUCUGGUGAAAUCCCGCAGCUUAACUGUGGGAAUUGCUGGAGAUACUAUCAUGACUCGAGGUCGGGAGAGGCUGGAGGUACUCCCAGGGUAGGGGUGAAAUCCUGUAAUCCUGGGAGGACCACCUGUGGCGAAGGCGUCCAGCUGGAACGAACCUGACGGGGAGGGACGAAAGCCAGGGGCGCGAACCGGAUUAGAUCCCCGGGUAGUCCUGGCCGUAAACGAUGUGGACUUGGUGUUGGGAUGGCUUCGAGCUGCCCCAGUGCCGAAGGGAAGCUGUUAAGUCCACCGCCUGGGAAGUACGGCCGCAAGGCUGAAACUUAAAGGAAUUGGCGGGG
rnacentral:rRNA from 1 species